CAUCAUUUUGUUGCUUUAUUGUCCAGGUCUUAAAGCUGCUGCAGGAAAUAGGCAUUGAAAAGAUUGACUCGGUCACAGUUAUGGCUGAUCCUAAUAAUCCAGAGUUAAAUCAUGGCUUUGCAUUUCUUGAACUUGAAACAAACAGAGAUGCACAACUUGCUUUCAAGAAGCUUCAAAAGAAAGAUAUUUCUUUUUUUGUUGAAUUGAUCCUGAAUUAACUAUAUGGCAUUUUUUCGAACAUGACGUAGCAGUUCAUUUGUAUGUGGUGUCAUCUGUUAGAAAUAAUGCUACAGUGUCUCAACUACUUUCCCAGAACUCUAAAUUUUGGAUCCUGUAGCUAUGAAAGCAUCUAAUAGAUCGAUCAAACUUUAGAUGCAAUUUUUAACAGAUUCUGUUAGAAAUAAUCUUUGUAACUUAAUACAUGGAGCUUAGAUGUUUGAAUUUUCAUAUUUGUAGAUGGAUCAGUUGUAUUUUGCGGAGAAAAGUGCGCUCAGUGGUAGUAGCUGCGGAUUUCUUCAUCAUUAAUUGUUGAGUUUGUCCAAUGGCAUGGCGGAAAGGUGAAAGAUGUCUAGUUGAAUCUUGUAAAAGAUUUGGAAGUCCAGAGAGACAGGAAAAAUCGUGGUCAGGCAAUCUCCUAGUUGGGAUAAUCUCCUAGUUGGGAUGCGUCCAUUAGCAAUCACCUCAAUCACCUUCCUGGUCAAAGAGACAGCAGAUAAUGUAGAUGACGCAGUGAAGGAACAUCCAGAUGCUAAUUUGAUUCUAUGCUGCAGAAGUAAUUGUCGCACUCGAGUACCUGGACUGCCAAGAUCAGCUAGAGCUGUGGAAAUUGAAGUGGGAAGCAAGACAUGCGGUGUUUGUUAUUUUUUUGCUACAUUUUGAACAAGUAUUUUUUGUUAGAACUUAUGUUUAAAUUAUGUUUGAAAUUUAAUUUGAAUUCUGAGAU